rnacentral:rRNA from 1 species
GUGGAUUAGAUACCCUAGUAGUCCACGCCGUAAACGAUGGGCACUAGGUGUGGGAGGUGUCGACUCCUCCCGUGCCGCAGCUAACGCAUUAAGUGCCCCGCCUGGGGAGUACGGCCGCAAGGCUAAAACUCAAAGGAAUUGACGGGGGCCCGCACAAGCAGCGGAGCAUGUGGUUUAAUUCGACGCAACGCGAAGAACCUUACCUGGGCUUGACAUGUUGGUCGUACCUGUGGAAACACAGGGUCAGUUCGGCUGGACCAUCACAGGUGGUGCACGGCUGUCGACAACU